ensembl:snRNA U6 U6 spliceosomal RNA
GUGCUCCAUUUGGCAGCACAUCUACUAAACUGGACCAAUACAGAGGUCAGCAUGGUCCCUGCUCAUGGGUGAUAGGCAAGUUCAUGAAGAGUUCCCUAUCUUU